UACGUAUGGUGCAAGCGUUAUCCGGAUUUACUGGGUGUAAAGGGAGCGCAGGCGGUACGGCAAGCCUGAUGUGAAAGCCCGCGGCCCAACCGCGGGACUGCAUUGGGAACUACCGGGCUGGAGUGCCGGAGAGGUAGGCGGAAUUCCUAGUGUAGCGGUGAAAUGCGUAGAUAUUAGGAGGAACACCAGUGGCGAAGGCGGCCUACUGGACGGUGACUGACGCUGAGGCUCGAAAGCGUGGGGAGCAAACAGG
rnacentral:rRNA from 1 species